UACGGUGCAAAUUAAAGCACAGGUACAGAAUAUACAGGCAAGGAUAUCUUAGGGUUUAUAUUAACACCCAAUCAACGGAGAUCCUUGCCUAAUCUAAGUACCUAGGGCCAUCCCGGGGAAGGAGGCAUACGGCCAAAGGCCCAUGCGACACCCUGCCCAACAACCCAAAGGACCGGCCUAAACACACAGUCUAACAAAAAGCAGAUCGUUGCACAAUGAACACUCAUACUCAGGUUCUUC
rnacentral:lncRNA from 1 species